rnacentral:rRNA from 1 species
UAGGGAAUCUUCCACAAUGGACGCAAGUCUGAUGGAGCAACGCCGCGUGAGUGAAGAAGGCUUUCGGGUCGUAAAACUCUGUUAUUGAAGAAGAACGUGUGUGACAGUAACUGGUCAUGCAGUGACGGUAUUCAAUCAGAAAGUCACGGCUAACUACGUGCCAGCAGCCGCGGUAAUACGUAGGUGGCAAGCGUUGUCCGGAUUUAUUGGGCGUAAAGCGAGUGCAGGCGGUCUUUUAAGUCUGAUGUGAAAGCCUUCGGCUUAACCGAA